rnacentral:tRNA from 1 species
GCAUUCGUGGUGUAGUGAUCAACAACCUCGACGCGUAACCGAGAGAUUCGUGGUUCGAUUCCCGGCGAAGGCG